AGCGAACGCUGGCGGCAGGCCUAACACAUGCAAGUCGAACGAACCUUUCGGGGUUAGUGGCGGACGGGUGAGUAACACGUGGGAACGUGCCUUUAGGUUCGGAAUAACUCAGGGAAACUUGUGCUAAUCCCGAAUGUGCCCUUCGGGGGCAAGAUUUAUCGCCUUUAGAUCCGCCCGCGUCUGAUUAGCUAGUUGGUUGAGGUAAUGGCCCACCAAGGCGACGAGCAGUAGCUGGUCUGAGAGCAUGAUCAGCCACAUUGGGACUGAGACACGGCCCAAACUCCUACGGCAGGCAGCAGUGGUGGAUCUUGCGCAAUGGGCGAGAGCCUGACGCAGCCAUGCCGCGUGGAUGAUGAAGGUCGUAGGAGUGUAAAAUUCUUUCACCGGAGGUGUUAGUGACGGUACCCUGAGAAGAAGCCCCGGCUAACUUCGUG
rnacentral:rRNA from 1 species